rnacentral:rRNA from 1 species
UACGAAGGGGGCUAGCGUUGCUCGGAAUCACUGGGCGUAAAGCGCACGUAGGCGGAUCUUUAAGUCAGGGGUGAAAUCCUGGAGCUCAACUCCAGAACUGCCUUUGAUACUGGGGAUCUCGAGUCCGGAAGAGGUGAGUGGAAUUCCUGGUGUAGCGGUGAAAUGCGCAGAUAUCAGGAGGAACACCAAUUGCGAAGGCAGCUCGCUGGGACGUAACUGACGCUGAGACGCGAAAGCGUGGGGAUCAAACAGG